rnacentral:rRNA from 1 species
AAUAGAUACCCGGGUAGUCCACGCCGUAAACGAUGAGUGCUAAGUGUUAGAGGGUUUCCGCCCUUUAGUGCUGCAGCUAACGCAUUAAGCACUCCGCCUGGGGAGUACGGCCGCAAGGCUGAAACUCAAAGGAAUUGACGGGGGCCCGCACAAGCGGUGGAGCAUGUGGUUUAAUUCGAAGCAACGCGAAGAACCUUACCAGGUCUUGACAUCCUCUGCCAACCCUAGAGAUAGGGCGUUCCCCUUCGGGGGACAGAGUGACAGGUGGUGCAUGGUUGUCGUCAGCUCGUGUCGUGAGAUGUUGGGUUAAGUCCCGCAACGAGCGCAACCCUUGAUCUUAGUUGCCAGCAUUCAGUUGGGCACUCUAAGGUGACUGCCGGUGACAAACCGGAGGAAGGUGGGGAUGACGUCAAAUCAUCAUGCCCCUUAUGACCUGGGCUACACACGUGCUACAAUGGAUGGUACAAAGAGCUGCGAACCCGCGAGGGUAAGCGAAUCUCAUAAAGCCAUUCUCAGUUCGGAUUGUAGG